UGUUUUUUAAAUUAAAAAAAAAAAUAUAAGCACUUGAAUGACUAUUGAUUGAUCAGAGAAAGCUAUUCACACUAUCAGUAUAGGUCCAGACAAGUUUGUUUAUGCUCUGGUCAAAUAUUCUUUCUGAUCAGCCUUGACUGAAGUGUGAUUGGACCAACACUUGAUAGAUGCCCAUAAUGUGAGCAGAUUUAUUACAAACAAUGCAGAAAUAUUUGAUUGGACUGAGAGCAGAACGAGAUCUAAUUGUAAGCAGCUCGAUAGUGUCGAUUGGCCCUUAUACUUUGAGGGAAUUUGACAGUGUUUUGAAGAUAAUUAGAAUUGAAAAAUUUCUCUUUCUUUCAAAUAACAUGAGGUUCUUUGCUUCCAACACACACUUCAAAAUGCAAUUCAACAGAAAAAUUACUUUUUUCAUGAAUAAUUAUUCCAAUGAACAGUGGGUCAUUCCACAUCAAGGGGACCAGGGGUCCCCACUCGACCAUCUCCAAA
rnacentral:lncRNA from 1 species